AUGGCGGACUGGGCCCCGGUGUUCGUCGGGCUGGCGCUAUUCAUCCUCCUCUCGCCGGGGCUGCUGUUCCAGAUCCCCGGCAAGGGCAGGAUCGUGGACUUCGGCAGCUUCCAGACCAGCGGCGCCUCCAUGCUCAUCCACGCCGUCAUCUACUUCGCCCUCAUCACCAUCUUGCUCCUCGCCGUCCGCGUCCAAGUCUUCCUUGGUUGA
rnacentral:rRNA from 1 species